rnacentral:rRNA from 1 species
AGUGAACGCUGGCGGUAGGCCUAACACAUGCAAGUCGAACGGCAGCACAGUAAGAGCUUGCUCUUACGGGUGGCGAGUGGCGGACGGGUGAGGAAUACAUCGGAAUCUACUUUUUCGUGGGGGAUAACGUAGGGAAACUUACGCUAAUACCGCAUACGACCUACGGGUGAAAGCAGGGGAUCUUCGGGCCUUGCGCGAUUGAAUGAGCCGAUGUCGGAUUAGCUAGUUGGCGGGGUAAAGGCCCACCAAGGCGACGAUCCGUAGCUGGUCUGAGAGGAUGAUCAGCCACACUGGAACUGAGACACGGUCCAGACUCCUACGGGAGGCAGCAGUGGGGAAUAUUAGACAAUGGGCGCAAGCCUGAUCCAGCCAUACCGCGUGGGUGAAGAAGGCCUUCGGGUUGUAAAGCCCUUUUGUUGGGAAAGAAAAGCAGCAGGUUAAUACCCCGCUGUUCUGACGGUACCCAAAGAAUAAGCACCGGCUAACUUCGUG